UACGAAGGGGACUAGCGUUGUUCGGAAUCACUGGGCGUAAAGCGCACGUAGGCGGAUUUGCCAGUCAGGGGUGAAAUCCCGGGGCUCAACCUCGGAACUGCCUUUGAUACAGCAAGUCUUGAGUUCGAGAGAGGUGGGUGGAAUUCCUAGUGUAGAGGUGAAAUUCGUAGAUAUUAGGAAGAACACCGGUGGCGAAGGCGGCCCACUGGCUCGAUACUGACGCUGAGGUGCGAAAGCGUGGGGAGCAAAC
rnacentral:rRNA from 1 species